GUUUAAGUUGUUGCAGUUAAAAGCUCGUAGUUGGAUUCGGUCCUUAGCAGUCCGCCCCUUCGGGGAGCGGGUUGCUGGCCUCCUAUGUUCCUAACGGUCCUCAUCCGCGAGGGUGGGGAAUCAACCGCUAGGAUCGUUUACUUUGAGGAAAUUAGAGUGUUCAAAGCAGGCGUAACUCGCCUCCGAAUACGUUAGCAUGGGAUAAUGGAAUACGACUUCGGUCUUGUUUCGUUGGUUUCGCUUGGCUGAAGUAAUGAUUGAUAGGGACAGUUGGGGGCAUUAGUAUUUAGUUGUCAGAGGUGAAAUUCUAGGAUUUACUAAAGACUGACCAAUGCGAAAGCAUUUGCCAAGGAUGUUUUCAUUAAUCAAGAACGAAAGUAGGGGGAUCGAAGACGAUCAGAUACCGUCGUAGUCUCUACCGUAAACUAUGCCGACCAGGGAUCCGGAGAGUUUGCAUGGAUGACUCCCCGGGCACCUUGUGAGAAAUCAUAAGUGUUUGGGUUUUGGGGGGAGUAUGGUCGCAAGGCUGAAACUUAAAGGGAAUUGACGGAAGGGCACCACCAGGAGUGGAACCUGCCGCCUUAAUUUGACUCACCGGGGAAACUUACGAGGUCAGGACCUGUGAGGAUUGACAGAUUGAAAGCUCUUCUUGAUUCAGGGGGGGGCAUGGCCCUUCUAUUGGGGAGAUUGCGGUCAUCCUAAC
rnacentral:rRNA from 1 species